GUUUGAUCCUGGCUCAGAAUCAACGCUGGCGGCGUGCCUAACACAUGCAAGUCGAACGAGAAAGUGGAGCAAUCCCUGAGUAAAGUGGCGACCGGGUGAGUAACACGUGACUAACCUACCUUCGAGUGGGGGAUAACCUAGGGAAACCUGGGCUAAUACCGCAUAAUAUCUUUGGAGUGGAAAUUCUGGAGAUCAAAGGAGCAAUUUGCUUGAAGAGGGGGUCGCGGCUGAUUAGCUAGUUGGCGGGGUAAUGGCCCACCAAGGCUUUGAUCGGUAGCCGGCCUGAGAGGGCGCACGGCCACACUGGAACUGAAACACGGUCCAGACUCCUACGGGAGGCAGCAGUGGGGAAUUUUGCGCAAUGGGGGAAACCCUGACGCAGCAACGCCGCGUGGAGGAUGAAGUCCCUUGGGACGUAAA
rnacentral:rRNA from 1 species